rnacentral:rRNA from 1 species
CAUGUAUCAGUACAAGCCUUGACAAGGUGAAACCGCGAACGGCUCAUUACAACAGCUAUCAUCUACUCGAUCUUGACCAGUUACUUGGAUAACUGCGGUAAUUCUGGAGCUAAUACAUGCACCAAAGCUGUCUCUCACGGGGCAGUGCAUUUGUUAGAGCAAAACCAGGCCGCCUCGGCGGUGUUUUGUUGACUCAGAACAACUAAGCUGAUCGCAUGGGCUUGUCCCGGCGACGUGUCGUUCGAGUGUCUGCCUUAUCAACUUUCGAUGGUAGUGUACGUGACUACCAUGGUUGUGACGGGUAACGGAGGAUCAGGGUUCGACUCCGGAGAAGGGGCCUGAGAAAUGGCCACUACGUCUAAGGAUGGCAGCAGGCGCGCAAAUUACCCACUCUCGGUUCGAGGAGGUAGUGACGAAAAAUAACAAGGUGGUUCUCUACGAGGCCCACCAUUGGAAUGGGUACAACCCAAACCCUUUAACGAGUAUCAAUGAGAGGGCAAGUCUGGUGCCAGCAGCCGCGGUAAUUCCAGCUCUCAAAAUGCAUAGAACCAUUGCUGCGGUUAAAAAGCUCGUAGUUGGAUCUGUGCCGGCGCCGUGGUCCACCCGCGAGGGCGGCACUGCGCGCGCCGGCUUUCGGGCCGGUCUUGGGCCGGCGGCCUUCACUGGUCGUCCGGUCCCGGCUGGCUGGUUUACUUUGAGCAAAUCAGAGUGCUCAGCACAGGCGUUUCGCCGGAAUGUUCGUGCAUGGAAUAAUAGAACAGGAUCACGGUCCUCUUUUAUUGGUUUUGUGGACUGAGAUAAUGGUUAACAGAGACGAACGGGGGCAUUCGUAUUGCUGCGUGAGAGGUGAAAUUCUUGGACCGCAGCAGGACGGACUACAGCGAAAGCA